AAUGAACGUUGGCGGCGUGGAUUAGGCAUGCAAGUCGUGCGCGAACUGUAGCAAUACAGGGAAAGCGGCGUAAGGGAGAGUAAUACGUAGGUAUCUACCCAUGGGGUCUGGGAUAGCGGCGGGAAACUGCCGGUAAUACCAGAUAACGUCUCCGGACCAAAGGUGUGAUUCCACCUGUGGAGGAGCCUACGGCCUAUUAGCUAGUUGGCAGGGUAACGGCCUACCAAGGCUUGGAUGGGUACGGGGUGUGAGAGCAUGCCCCCCGCUCACUGGGACUGAGACACUGCCCAGACACCUACGGGUGGCUGCAGUCGAGAAUCUUCGGCAAUGGGCGCAAGCCUGACCGAGCGACGCCGCGUGCGGGAUGAAGGCCUUCGGGUUGUAGACCGCUGUCGUAGGGGAUGAAACGCUAGUGAGUUAUCUCAUUAGUUUGACUGAACCUAGGAGGAAGGGCCGGCUAAUCUCGUGCCAGCAGCCGCGGUAAAAGUGUGACUGU
rnacentral:rRNA from 1 species